UUCUAAGAACAACACAGAGAGAGAGAGAAUUGAGAAAAACGUGAUAUCGAAACUGAAACGAGAGUGCUAGCAAUGAUAUGAGCCAUGCGGUUUCAUAGCGCGCCAUAUGCAAUUUCGUAUGUAUCCUCGUGCGAUCUGUGCUCGUGAUCUUAGCAUGUUCUACGCUACCAUGAUGUGCUGCGACGUAGCUCGAUCGUGCGUUCGAUUCCACUUACUGUAAGCUUGCGAAUCUGGUCAGUCUACGAUCUGAUUAACUGGAUCAACCAUGGGAAUACUAGGUCUACAGACAUACCUCGAAAAAGUUGUGGAUGGCGGCUGCACAUCUGUUGACAUCAUAGAAGAAGCAGCGAGACAUGCUCCAUACUGCCCUCCAGGAACCAAGCCCACAAUAGUGGUAGAUAGCCUGUGUUUAAUGAGGUGGCUUUACAGUAAGACUGAUGACUACAUAUUUGGCGGUCCAUGGAGGUCUGUUGCCCACAUUGUGACCGAGCUCGUGAGAUCAUUUCAAGAGAAAGGCAUUGACUUGGUGUUUUUCUUUGAUGGCUGCGUGUGUGACGCUAAAGUGGGAAUGUGGCGAAGUCGACGACUUCAAAAGAGUCGGGAGAUUAUGGAGAUAUACGAGAAACUUCGAGCUCAUUGCUGGACGGGAGAUGAUAGGAAUCUUUCCUGUCCCAAUGGAACAGCAUACGUCUUGUGCUUUGUGGUCAAGCAUCUGACAUCAUGCAAAGUGUUUAAUGCGGUGGGAGAGUGUGACAAUGAAGUGGCUCGUUAUGCAGAAACGCAUCAGGAAUGCUUUGCCAUCCUAAGUCAGGACUCUGACUUUUCCAUUUUCAACAUGAGAGUUCUGUUCCUCUCCAUUUUGCAUUUAGACAUGGGCAAACUUCAAACCCGUGCCUACAGUUCUCGGGCACUUGCUCGACAUUUGGGCAUCGGCAGCCACCUGUUGCCAUUGUUUGCUUGCCUUGCAGGCAAUGAUUUUGUCAGCAAAGAGCAACUGACAUCGUUUCAUCGCUCACUUGGUCUUCGGCCAUACCAUCACGGUCGUCAUGCACUCUUGUUCGAGAGAAUCGCUACUGUCAUUUGUCAGAGAGGCUGGAGUGCCACACCUGACAUACAUGUGGCCAGAAGUGUUGGUGUAGACUUGGACAGUUUGCUGAGCGGGGUCCGCAUGUAUGACACGAAAGAAGACUCCUGCAAGCUGGGAUUGCCCAGGGGCAUUGAGGUAGCCUCUUGGCAUCUGGCUUUAGAGAAGUACAGGCAUGCUGAAAUCCCCCCAAGCGUUCUACAAGUGCUUCAUAGCCGAGAGAUCUUCCUUGGGGAAACCAUGGAGCAGCAAAUGAGUGAAAACAAGUUACCAGCAAACAUCUUGUUUCAGGAGGUCAGGCGGAGGAUUUACUGGGUCCUUUUCAAAGGCGACACGUCAGUGGUUAUCACUGAACAUGUUACAUACCCUGGUACCAUCGGAGUCAGGGAUGAGGCUGUGACAUGCAUACCUUUGAAAAUUGAAGGUGAAGUACCAGAGCUCCGUCACCUUUGGUCUAAAGACCCAUCCUUGGGGUUCAUGCGCUGGCAACUCUUCUGUGGUUGCCUGCAAAUGGAGACGCAGAUGGAGAAGCUCAAGAGGAUGCCCUAUGUCUAUUUGGUUUUUUGUUGCACACUGCGUCAUCUGUUUCUAGCAGGAGUCAUCCAGGGAAUGGAAAUUAAUGCUCUAAUCCUACAAUGCAUCCUGCCGGAUGAUAUGAAGCUUAAGUUCACAGAAAGGCACAUUCCUCUGCUGCCCACUCUGUGAGGUGUUUCUUGGAAAGAAGAAAACAAUGGCACCAUUUUCUGCAACCUUAGCAGGAGCAUGGCUCAGCGCCAUGCCCACGUUGUGAACGAAUCCAAAACCAGUACACAGCCAGGUCGACCCUAACCUGGUCUCCAUCUCGGCACAUGUGAUGGUAGGAAUCCAGUGUGUGACAAUGGCCCUUAUUGCCUGUGGACAAUUGUCACUUGUGGAAGAUGGUGCACCCUGGAU
rnacentral:misc_RNA from 1 species